rnacentral:rRNA from 1 species
CACUGUGUCUGUAGAGAUCCAGAGACCAUGCUGCCUCCCGAUCGAGCCAUGCCGCUCCUUCUCCUGCUCCUCUUCCUCGGCCUCGGCCCGGCGGCGGCGGCGGCGGACGAGCAGUUCGUCUUCGACGGCUUCACCGGCGCGAACCUCACCAUGGACGGCAUGGCCACGGUGACCCCCAACGGGCUGCUCCAGCUGAGCAACGCCACCAGCCAGCUCAAGGGCCACGCCUUCUUCCCGACGCCGCUGCAGUUCCACCGGGCGCCCAACAGCACGGCCAUGCAGUCCUUCUCCACGGCCUUCGUCAUCGGCAUCAUCGGCGCCUACGACACGCUCAGCAGCCACGGCAUGGCCUUCGUCGUCGCCAAGAGCCGCAACUUCACCUCCGCGCUGCCGGGCCAGUUCCUCGGCCUCGUCGGCUCCGCCAACAACGGCAACGCCACCAACCACCUCUUCGCCGUCGAGUUCGACACCAUCCUCAACUCCGAGUUCAACGACAUGAGCGGCAACCACGUCGGCAUCGACGUCAACGGCCUCAACUCCGUCGACGCCGACAACGCCGGCUACUACGACGACGCCACCGGCGCGUUCAGGAACAUCAGCCUGGUCGACCGCAAGCCCAUGCAGGUGUGGGUGGACUUCGACGGCCGGACCAUGCAGGUCAACGUCACCAUGGCGCCCCUGCAGGUGGCCCGGCCCAAGAAGCCCCUGCUCUCCGCCACCGUCAACCUCUCCUCCGUCAUCGACGACACUGCCUACGUCGGGUUCUCCUCGUCCAGCGGCAUCCUCUUCUGCCGCCACUACGUGCUCGGGUGGAGCUUCAAGAUGAACGGCGCCGCCCCGGCGCUUAACAUCUCCUCGCUGCCGUCGAUGCCGGUCACGUUCCCCAAGCCGCGGUCCAAGGUUCUGGAGAUCGUGCUCCCGAUCGCGUCCGCGCUGCUCGUCUUCGCGGUGGCCGCCGCCGUCUUCGUGUACAUGCGGCGGCGGCGCAUGUUCGGGGAGCUCAAGGAGGACUGGGAGGUCACCUUCGGGCCGCACAGGUUCUCGUACAAGGACCUCUACCACGCCACCGACGGGUUCAGCGACGAGCGGCUGCUGGGCAUCGGCGGGUUCGGGAGGGUGUACCGCGGCUCGCUCCCCAAGUCCAAGUCGGCGGAGAUCGCGGUGAAGAAGGUGUCGCACGGGUCGAGGCAGGGGAUGAGGGAGUUCGUGGCGGAGGUGGUGACCAUCGGCCGGCUCCGGCACCGCAACCUGGUGCAGCUGCUGGGCUACUGCCGGCGCAAGGGCGAGCUGCUGCUGGUGUACGACUACAUGCCCAACGGCAGCCUGGACAAGCACCUGUACGACGACCAGAAGAAGACGGCGGCCCUGGGCUGGUGGCAGAGGUUCCGGAUCAUCAAGGGCGUCGCCUCCGGGCUGCUGUACCUCCACGAGGACUGGGAGCAGGUGGUGGUGCACCGGGACAUCAAGGCCAGCAACGUGCUGCUGGACGCCGACAUGAACGGCCGGCUGGGCGACUUCGGGCUGGCGCGGCUCUACGACCACGGCACGGACCCGCACACGACGCACGUGGUGGGCACCAUGGGGUACCUGGCGCCGGAGCUGGGGCACACGGGGAAGGCCUCCAAGGCGUCCGACGUGUUCGCGUUCGGGGCCUUCAUGCUGGAGGUGGCGUGCGGGCGGAAGCCGGUGGUGCAGGACGCGCGCGACAACCACCUGGUGCUGGUGGACUGGGUGCUCGACCAGUGGCGCGCCGGGACGGUCACCGGCGCCGUCGACCCGCGCCUGGGCGGCGACGUCGUGGAGCACGAGGCGAGCCUGGUGCUGAGGCUGGGCCUGCUGUGCUCGCACCCGCUGCCCGGCGCGCGCCCGACCACGCGGCAGGUGGCGCAGUACCUGGACGGCGACCUCAAGCUGCCGGAGCUGUCGCCCACGUACCAGAGCUUCAACAUGCUGGCGCUCAUGCAGGACCAGGGCUUCGACCCCUACGUCAUGUCCUACCCGAUGACCUCCAUCACCGCCGGCACCAUGUCCCAGAUGUCCGACCUCUCCGGAGGGAGGUGA